UACGUAGGGUGCAAGCGUUGUCCGGAAUUAUUGGGCGUAAAGAGCUCGUAGGCGGUUCGGUAAGUCGGGUGUGAAACCUCCAGGCCCAACCUGGAGACGCCACCCGAUACUGCUGUGACUCGAGUCCGGUAGGGGAGCGUGGAAUUCCUGGUGUAGCGGUGAAAUGCGCAGAUAUCAGGAGGAACACCGGUGGCGAAGGCGGGUCUCUGGGCCGAUAUUGACGCUGAGGAGCGAAAGCGUGGGGAGCGAACAGG
rnacentral:rRNA from 1 species